AUGCAUGGGCUCGGGAACAGCCCGGGGAAAAAUAAAUGUGCAGACACGUGUGAUAGGAGACUGGGGAAAGGGCACGAGGACACCCAAAUGCCCACAGGUGAUGCUGGAGCAGCAUCAGAGCAGGAGGUUUCGCUGUGGACACUUUCUGCUUGCAAAGUCCAGUUUGAAGCCCCCGUGCUGGUGCCUGGCAGAUGUUCAUGGGGCUGCGAUGCCCCGGUGUCACAGCAGCGGCUGGGACGCUCUCGGGGAGGAUCAGGGCAUGUCCUGGUGCUGUGUUUGCAGCUGAGGUGGGUGCUGUUUUGCACUGGGGGUCCUCCCCAUCAGCAGGGGCUGCGUGAGCGGUGUCCCCCCGCCUUGCUACAGCCUGGGCUACGCUCUGGGAAGGGGAGGGGGCACUGCAGGGGGGGCAGAGCAGGGGGUGGCAGUGCAGGGGGUGGCAGUGCAGGGGGUGGCAGUGCAGGGGGUGGCAGUGCUGCCUGCUGGCCAGGAGGUGCCUCCCUCGCUCCACGCCGGGUGCUGGGGCCGGCGGUGCCUCCAAGGCCUCCCCCUCGCUGCGGGGCUGCAUCAGGGGGGAGCGCGGCCCCCGUGCCCUGCAGACCCCCAACCCCAGCAGUGCGACCACGGGGGGUGCUUGGGGCCCACCAGGGAGCUGCUGGAGCAGAGCAGGGCAGUGCCGGACACGCACAGACCCAAACUCUGCCCCAAACUGCCCAGGACCCCCAGGGACCCUCGCUGGCUGCCCCUGCAGCCCGGGCAGGGCGCGCUCCUGCUGCCCCCAGUCCCCCCCUGCCUGCGGGGCAGACCUGGGGCUGGGAAAGGAUCUGCUCGGCCAUGCAUGGCCCUGCUGUGGGGCUGGGGAUUUGGUGUCCAGGGUCGGACCCAUGCCCCUCUGCCAGGGCUGCGGGUGUGCUGUGGCUCAUGGGGGGGGGUGUGUGCAGGGGGUGCGUGGUGCUGUCCCUCCGUGGUGUCCCCUCUCCAAGCGUGGAAGGGACUUCAGAGCACCUUCAGAGCACCACGGGGGCAGCACAAGGGGCUUUCGACACACCCCAGGGCCAGUUUGCUGCCAGCAGCAGUGAGUUGGUUGUGUAG
rnacentral:lncRNA from 1 species